rnacentral:rRNA from 1 species
UACGAAGGGGGCUAGCGUUGCUCGGAAUUACUGGGCGUAAAGGGCGCGUAGGCGGACAGUUUAGUCAGAGGUGAAAGCCCAGGGCUCAACCCUGGAAUUGCCUUUGAUACUGACUGUCUUGAGUACGGGAGAGGUGUGUGGAACUCCGGAGUGUAGAGGUGAAAUUCGUAGAUAUUCGGAAGAACACCAGUGGCGAAGGCGACACACUGGCCCGUUACUGACGCUGAGGCGCGAAAGCGUGGGGAGCAAACAGGGAU